rnacentral:rRNA from 1 species
UACGUAGGCAGCAAGCGUUGUUCGGAGUUACUGGGCGUAAAGGGUGUGUAGGCGGUUUUUUAAGUUUGGUGUGAAAUCUCCCGGCUCAACCGGGAGGGUGCGCCGAAAACUGAAGGGCUAGAGUGCGGGAGAGGAGAGUGGAAUUCCUGGUGUAGCGGUGAAAUGCGUAGAUAUCAGGAGGAACACCGGUGGUGUAAACGGCUCUCUGGACCGUAACUGACGCUGAGACACGAAAGCGUGGGUAGCAAACAGG